UACGUAGGUGGCAAGCGUUGUCCGGAUUUACUGGGCGUAAAGAGCGCGCAGGCGGUCGUUCAAGUCGCGUGUGAAAGCCCCCGGCUCAACUGGGGAGGGUCACGCGAUACUGAUCGACUCGAAGGCAGGAGAGGGUAGUGGAAUUCCCGGUGUAGUGGUGAAAUGCGUAGAUAUCGGGAGGAACACCAGUGGCGAAGGCGACUACCUGGCCUGUUCUUGACGCUGAGGCGCGAAAGCUAGGGGAGC
rnacentral:rRNA from 1 species